UACGGAGGGAGCUAGCGUUUUUCGGAAUUACUGGGCGUAAAGAGCAUGUAGGCGGCUAGUUAAGUUGAAAGUGAAAUCCCAGGGCUCAACCCUGGAACUGCUUUCAAAACUGGCUAACUAGAGUAUGAUAGGGGACAGUGGAAUUCCUAGUGUAGAGGUGAAAUUCUUAGAUAUUAGGAGGAACACCGGUGGCGAAGGCGACUGUCUGGAUCAUUACUGACGCUGAGAUGCGAAAGCGUGGGGAGCAAACAGG
rnacentral:misc_RNA from 1 species